UGAAUUAUUUGUGAAGUUAUUUGCUAAAUGAAUCUUAAUUGCUAUUUUUUGUGAUUUUGUUCAAUUUAAAUUGUUGUUUAAAUUAUUAAACAGUUAAUUUACUAAGAUUACGUGGUUGAAUUAGGUGUCACCAAGGUAAAAAUGUGCCUUUAUAAAAUCUUUGUAUUGUUAAUAGAUUCAGGAUUGUCACAAUGCUGAUGGAAGUGAAAUUAGAUGGAAAGAAGAUGAAGACCGAGAAGAUGGCAAGGAAAGGAUAAAAUGGGGAGGAAAACAAAAUGGGUGGACCAGAUAAACGUUAAUGCCAUUGGAAUAAAAAAAAGGAGAAAAACAAACGUUAAAUGGAUUGGAGACGAAAUUAAAUUAUCAAAAUGAAAAGGCCUAAAGCAACCAAGGAGUCAAGCAAACCUCAAGGAACCUCAAAAAAGUAAAGGAACCUCAAAGAAACCAAGAAACCUUAAAGAUUCUUAGGAAACUCAGAGAACCAAAGGAGCCUCUUUGAAGACAUGGGAACCUCAAAAAAAUCUAGGAACCUGUAAAUAGGAAGCAUAUCAAGAGUGGAACCUCUAUUUGGACAAAAUUUGGAUCUUCACAAUGAAAGGAUUCAAAUGUGCACCUUAUACAAUUGGACAUGUUCAAGAUUAAUUUAAUGAUUAUUCUGACUGACAUCAUGACAAUGGAAUGGCAAAAAAUUAAAACAAAAUUUGAUAAAUAUAUCACAACUAUAAUCGUGAUUGGUAUAUUUAAUAUCAUUAGAGUUGUUCAACAUUCACUUUGAGUUUAUCCAUAAGUUUAUUUCCAUCUGGCUGUUCAUAAAAUUAUCACAUCAACAUAACUUCCUUUGCUUCUCUACACUUUUUGUGAAUUCCCGUGAAACUCAAACUGUUCAUUGGUUAACAGGGUACUUUGUUAAUAUUGAAUUAAAAUUGAGUAUUCAAACUUUCCUGUUCAAAUGUGUAACCAACAAAAAACAGUAACUGAAAAGCUGUUAUUCAUGUUAACCCAUUUAAUUUAAUUCCCUUUUUUUGGUUUGUUUGUUAAUCCAUUCAACUAUUAGAACCAAAAAAUGUAUUCAAUUAUUUUGUAUUUAUACAUUGUUUUGUUAUCUGUUUGAAUAAGACUUUCAAUUCAUUUCAAUUUUAAUUCAAUUUUAAUUCAAUUUUAACACCAACCACAAUUGUAAAUGUAAACCAGAUACACCUUCAACUGUUUACCUUUACAAUGAUAAAGCUAUUAACCGUAAUAUUUACUCAGUGAGAGUACAAUCAAAA